rnacentral:rRNA from 1 species
GAGUAACGCGUGGGUAACCUGCCUUAUACAGGGGGAUAACACUUAGAAAUAGGUGCUAAUACCGCAUAACAACAUAAGACGCAUGUUUUGUGUUUGAAAACUGAGGUGGUAUAAGAUGGACCCGCGUCUGAUUAGCUUGUUGGCGGGGUAAAGGCCCACCAAGGCGACGAUCAGUAGCCGGCCUGAGAGGGUGGACGGCCACAUUGGGACUGAGACACGGCCCAAACUCCUACGGGAGGCAGCAGUGGGGAAUAUUGCACAAUGGGGGAAACCCUGAUGCAGCGACGCCGCGUGAGUGAAGAAGUAUUUCGGUAUGUAAAGCUCUAUCAGCAGGGAAGAAGAUGACGGUACCUGACUAAGAAGCCCCGGCUAACUACGUG